AAUGAUUCACUCUGACAUCUAGACAAUCGAGUCCCACUAAAAUCGAGAGCGGGGUAACCGUCAGAAGACAGGUGAUAAACCAAAGGGUAUCCCGCUGCAAUCCUCAAUCCCGGUCACCACAUAGAUCAAGGUCUAUAACACUUUUCUGAAGAAAAGCCACAUUCCCUCAAAUUUUUUAUGAUAACCGAAAUUGAUGCUAACUUGCCAAGUGAGGAAGUGCACCGGAAAGUAUGCGAGCGGACCUUAUAUUACCUCACGGAGGUAUGUUAAGCGAGCCCCACACACACCA
rnacentral:rRNA from 1 species